rnacentral:rRNA from 1 species
GACAAACGCUGGCGGCGUACCUAAGACAUGCAAGUCGAACGGGGCUCACCGCUUCGGCGGGGAGUCGAGUGGCGGACGGGUGAGUAACGCGUAGGAACCUGUCGAGCAGUGGGGGAUAACGCUGGGAAACCGGCGCUAAUACCGCAUGUGAUCGGGAGACCGAAGAAAGCAGCAAUGCGCUGUUUGAGGGGCCUGCGUCCGAUUAGCUUGUUGGUGGGGUAAGGGCCUACCAAGGCAUCGAUCGGUAGCUGGUCUGAGAGGAUGGUCAGCCACACUGGGACUGAGACACGGCCCAGACUCCUACGGGAGGCAGCAGUUAGGAAAUUUUUCCAAUGGGGGAAACCCUGAGAGAGUAACGCCGCGUGGAGGAUGACGGCC